GUGCCAGCAGCCGCGGUAAUACGGAGGGGUGCGAGCGUUAAUCGGAAUUACUGGGCGUAAAGCGCAUGCAGGCGGCCUGUUAAGUCAGAUGUGAAAGCCCGGGGCUUAACCUCGGAAUUGCAUUUGAAACUGGCAGGCUAGAGUCUUGUAGAGGGGGGUAGGAAUUUCAGGUGUAGCGGUGAAAUGCGUAGAGAUCUGAAGGAAUACCAGUGGCGAAGGCGGCCCCCUGGACAAAGACUGACGCUCAGAUGCGAAAGCGUGGGGAGCAAACAGGAUUAGAUACCCUGGUAG
rnacentral:rRNA from 1 species